rnacentral:rRNA from 1 species
AGUGAACGCUGGCGGUAGGCCUAACACAUGCAAGUCGAACGGCAGCACAGUAAGAGCUUGCUCUUACGGGUGGCGAGUGGCGGACGGGUGAGGAAUACAUCGGAAUCUACUUUUUCGUGGGGGAUAACGUAGGGAAACUUACGCUCAUACCGCAUACGACCUACGGGUGAAAGCAGGGGAUCUUCGGACCUUGCGCGAUUGAAUGAGCCGAUGUCGGAUUAGCUAGUUGGCGGGGUAAAGGCCCACCAAGGCGACGAUCCGUAGCUGGUCUGAGAGAAUGGUCAGCCACACUGGAGGUGAGACACGGUCCAGGCUCCUACGGGAGGCAGCAGUGGGGAAUAUUGGACAAUGGGGGCAAGUCUGAUCCAGCCAUACCGCGUGGGUUAAGAAGGCGUUGGGGUUGUAAAGCCCUUUUGUUGGGAAAGAAAAGCAGCAGGUUAAUACCCCGCGGUUGUGACGGUACCCAAAGAAGAAGCACCGGCUAACUUCGUG